CCUACGGGGGGCUGCAGUGGGGAAUAUUGCGCAAUGGGCGAAAGCCUGACGCAGCAACGCCGCGUGAGUGAAGAAGGCCUUCGGGUUGUAAAGCUCUUUCGGCCGGGAAGAAGGGUGUAUGGGCUAAUACCCUGUGCAUUUGAUGGUACCGGAAGAAGAAGCACCGGCAAACUUCGUGCCAGCAGCCGCGGUAAUACGAAGGGUGCAAGCGUUGUUCGGAAUUACUGGGCGUAAAGGGUUCGUAGGCGGGACUGAAAGUCGAAUGUGAAAACCCC
rnacentral:rRNA from 1 species